rnacentral:rRNA from 1 species
UACAGAGGGUGCAAGCGUUGUUCGGAAUUAUUGGGCGUAAAGGGCGCGUAGGCGGCCACCGCAAGUCGACUGUGAAAUCUCCGGGCUUAACCCGGAAAGGUCAGCCGAUACUGCGGGGCUAGAGUGCAGAAGGGGCAACUGGAAUUCUCGGUGUAGCGGUGAAAUGCGUAGAUAUCGAGAGGAACACCUGCGGCGAAGGCGGGUUGCUGGGCUGACACUGACGCUGAGGCGCGAAAGCUAGGGGAGCGAACGGG